GUACGGAAGGCAGCAGUGAGGAAUUUUGGACAAUGGGCGCAAGCCUGAUCCAGCAAUGCCGCGUGCAGGAUGAAGGCCUUCGGGCUGUAAACUGCUUUUGUACGGAACGAAACGGUCCUUUCUAAUAUAAGGGGCUAAUGACGGUACCGUAAGAAUAAGCACCGGCUAACUACGUGCCAGCAGCCGCGGUAAUACGUAGGGUGCGAGCGUUAAUCGGAAUUACUGGGCGUAAAGCGUGCGCAGGCGGUUAUAUAAGACAGAUGUGAAGUCCCCGGGCUCAACCUGGGGCCUGCAUUUGUGACUGUAUAGCUAGAGUACGGUAGAGGGGGAUGGAGUUCCGCGUGUAGCAGUGAAAUGCGUAGAUAUGCGGAGGAACACCGAUGGCGAAGGCAAUCCCCUGGACCUGUACUGACGCUCAUGCACGAAAGCGUGGGGAGCAAACAGGAUUAGAUACCCCGGU
rnacentral:rRNA from 1 species